UACGGAAGGGGCAAGCGUUGUUCGGAAUCAUUGGGCGUAAAGGGCGUGUAGGUGGUUCUGUAUGUCUACCGUGAAAGCGUACGGCUCAACCGUAUUUAGUCGGUAGAAACUGCAGGACUUGAGGCUGGGAGGGGCUGGUGGAAUUCCCCGUGUAGCGGUGAAAUGCGUAGAGAUGGGGGAGAACACUCGUGGCGAAGGCGGGUCUCUGGACAGUUCCUGACGCUGAGGCACGAAGGCCAGGGGAGCAAACGGG
rnacentral:rRNA from 1 species